CCCCACUGCUAUCGGGAUGGGACUAAGACAUGCUAGUCGAGCGUCUCCAAGCUAUGGAAGAGACGCGGCACACAGCUCAGUAACACGUGGCUAACCUGCCCUUGGGACAAGGACAACUCCGGGAAACUGGAGCUAAUCCCUGAUAAGUGAGAACUCCUGGAAUGGAUUCUCGCUCAAAGGACGUUUAGACCAUGCUUCUAAGCGCCGCCCAAGGAAGGGGCCGCGACCGAUCAGGUUGUUGGUGAGGUAACGGCUCACCAAGCCUUUAACCGGUACGGGCCGUGAGAGCGGAAGCCCGGAGAUGGGCACUGAGACAAGGGCCCAGGCCCUACGGGGCGCAGCAGUCGCGAAAACUCCGCAAUACACGAAAGUGUGACGGGGCCAUCCCGAGUGCCAUCCGCUGAGGAUGGCUUUUCCCCAGUGUAUAAAGCUGGGGGAAUAAGGAGAGGGCAAGCCUGGUGUCAGCCGCCGCGGUAAUACCAGCUCUCCGAGUGGUGGGGAUGUUUAUUGGGCCUAAAGCAUUCGUAGCCUGCUUGGCAAGUCCUCCGUUAAAUCCAACGAUUCAAUCGUUGGGCUGCGGGGGAUACUGUCCAGCUAGGGGGCGGGAGAGGCCGACGGUAUCCCCGGGGUAGGGGUGAAAUCCUAUAAUCCCGGGAGGACCACCAGUGGCGAAGGCUGUCGGCUAGAACGCGCUCGACGGUGAGGGAUGAAAGCUGGGGGAGCGAACCGGAUUAGAUACCCGGGUAGUCCCAGCUGUAAACGAUGCAGGCUAGGUGUUGGCGCGGCUACGUGCCGCUCCAGUGCCGCAGGGAAGCCGUUAAGCCUGCCGCCUGGGAAGUACGGCCGCAAGGCUGAAACUUAAAGGAAUUGGCGGGGGAGCACCACAAGGUGUGAAGCUUGCGGUUU
rnacentral:rRNA from 1 species